rnacentral:rRNA from 1 species
GGUUAAGUUAACAAGGGCGCAUGGUGAAUGCCUUGGCACUAGGAGCCGAUGAAGGACGGGACUAACACCGAUAUGCUUCGGGGAGCUGUACGUAAGCUAUGAUCCGGAGAUUUCCGAAUGGGGCAACCCAGCAGUUUUAAUCAACUGUUACCACUAGAUGAAUUCAUAGUCUAGUUGGAGGUAAACGCUGUGAACUGAAACAUCUCAUUAGCAGCAGGAAUAUAAAGAAAUUUCGAUUCCCUAAGUAGCGGCGAGCGAACGGGGAACAGCCCAAACCAAAGUGCUUGCACUUUGGGGUUGUAGGACUGAACAUUUGAGUUACCAAAGAACUUGAUAGUCGAAGGAUUUGGGAAAAUCCGCCAUAGAUGGUGAUAGCCCAGUAGAUUAAAUCAAAUUCUCUCAGUUCAGGAUCCUGAGUACGGCGGAACACGUGAAAUUCCGUCGGAAUCCGGGAGGACCAUCUCCCAAGGCUAAAUACUACCUAGUGACCGAUAGUGAACCAGUACCGUGAGGGAAAGGUGAAAAGCACCCUGGGAGGGGAGUGAAAUAGUUCCUGAAACCAUGUGCCUACAAUAAGUCAGAGCGCGUUAAUGCGUGAUGGCGUGCCUUUUGUAGAAUGAACCGGCGAGUUAUGAUCCCGUGCAAGGUUAAGACUAAAAAGUCGGAGCCGUAGCGAAAGCGAGUCUGAAAUGGGCGAUUUGAGUACGAGGUUAUAGACCCGAAACCAGGUGACCUAUCCAUGUCCAGGUUGAAGGUGCGGUAAAACGCACUGGAGGACCGAACCCGUGUAAGUUGAAAAUUGCUGGGAUGAGGUGUGGAUAGCGGUGAAAUUCCAAACGAACUUGGAGAUAGCUGGUUCUCUCCGAAAUAGCUUUAGGGCUAGCCUCGGAUUAAGGAUCAUGGAGGUAGAGCACUAUUUGGACUAGGGGCCCGUCUUGGGUUACUGAAUUCAGAUAAACUCCGAAUGCCAUUGAUUCAUGUCCGGGAGUCAGACGAUGAGUGAUAAGAUCCACCGUCGAAAGGGGAACAGCCCAGACCAUCAGUUAAGGUCCCUAAAUGUAUGCUAAGUGGAAAAGGAUGUGGAGUUGCAUAGACAACUAGGAUGUUGGCUCAGAAGCAGCCACCAUUUAAAGAGUGCGUAAUAGCUCACUAGUCGAGUGAUCCUGCGCCGAAAAUGUACCGGGGCUAAGCAUACUACCGAAACCAUGGAUGCGACCAUUAGGUCGCGUGAUAGGAGAGCGUUCUAAGGGCGGUGAAGCAAGAUCGUGAGGACUUGUGGAGCGCUUAGAAGUGAGAAUGCCGGUAUGAGUAGCGAAAGAUAGGUGAGAAUCCUAUCCACCGAAUGACUAAGGUUUCCUGGGGAAGGCUCGUCCUCCCAGGGUUAGUCGGGACCUAAGUCGAGGCCGAGAGGCGUAGACGAUGGAUAACAGGUUGAGAUUCCUGUACUAGUUAAGUGCGUUUGAGCAAUGGAGGGACGCAGGAGGCUAAGAUGUGCAUUCUGUUGGAUUAGAAUGUCCAAGCAGUAAGUCUUGUGGAGAGUCAAAUGCUUUUCACUUUAAGGACAAGCUGUGAUGGGGAGCGAAAUUUAGUAGCGAAGCGUCUGAUGUCACACUGCCGAGAAAAGCUUCUAGUGAGUACUUAACUACCCGUACCGCAAACCGACACAGGUAGUCGAGGAGAGAAUCCUAAGGUGAGCGAGUGAACUCUCGUUAAGGAACUCGGCAAAAUGACCCCGUAACUUCGGGAGAAGGGGUGCUGAUCGCAAGAUCAGCCGCAGUGAAUAGGCCCAGGCGACUGUUUAUCAAAAACACAGGUCUCUGCAAAAUCGUAAGAUGACGUAUAGGGGCUGACGCCUGCCCGGUGCUGGAAGGUUAAAAGGAUGGGUUAGCUUCGGCGAAGCUCAGAAUUGAAGCCCCAGUAAACGGCGGCCGUAACUAUAACGGUCCUAAGGUAGCGAAAUUCCUUGUCGGGUAAGUUCCGACCCGCACGAAAGGCGUAACGAUCUGGGCACUGUCUCAACGAGAGACUCGGUGAAAUUAUAUUGUCCGUGAAGAUGCGGACUACCCGCGACAGGACGGAAAGACCCCAUGGAGCUUUACUGUAGCUUGAUAUUGAGUGUUUGUACAGCUUGUACAGGAUAGGUAGGAGCCAUAGAAACCGGAACGCUAGUUUCGGUGGAGGCGUUGGUGGGAUACUACCCUCGCUGUAUGACCACUCUAACCCGCACCACUAAUCGUGGUGGGAGACAGUGUCAGGUGGGCAGUUUGACUGGGGCGGUCGCCUCCUAAAAAGUAACGGAGGCGCCCAAAGGUUCCCUCAGAAUGGUUGGAAAUCAUUCGCAGAGUGUAAAGGCACAAGGGAGCUUGACUGCGAGACAGACAGGUCGAGCAGGGACGAAAGUCGGGCUUAGUGAUCCGGUGGUACCGUAUGGAAGGGCCAUCGCUCAACGGAUAAAAGCUACCCUGGGGAUAACAGGCUUAUCUCCCCCAAGAGUCCACAUCGACGGGGAGGUUUGGCACCUCGAUGUCGGCUCAUCGCAUCCUGGGGCUGUAGUCGGUCCCAAGGGUUGGGCUGUUCGCCCAUUAAAGCGGUACGCGAGCUGGGUUCAGAACGUCGUGAGACAGUUCGGUCCCUAUCCGUCGCGGGCGUAGGAAAUUUGAGAGGACCUGUCCUUAGUACGAGAGGACCGGGAUGGACAUACCUCUGGUGUACCAGUUGUGCCGCCAGGCGCAUCGCUGGGUAGCUACGUAUGGAUGUGAUAAACGCUGAAAGCAUCUAAGUGUGAAACACACCUCGAGAUGAGAUUUCCCAUUCCUUUAUGGAAGUAAGACCCCUGAAAGAUGAUCAGGUAGAUAGGUUAGAAGUGGCAGUGCGGUGACGCAUGAAGCGGACUAAUACUAAUCGGUCGAGGACUUAACCAA